AUGAAUGCUGGCGGCGUGGAUGAGGCACGCAAGUCGAAUGAGUUUAUACUCAUGGCAGACGAGGUAGGAACACGUGGGUACGUACCCUAGAGUCAGGGAUAAUCCGUCGAAAGGCGGCACAAUACUUGAUAGUCCCUUCGGGGUAAAGAUUUAUCGCUCUAGGAACGGCCCGCGGUCUAUCAGCUUGUUGGUAAGGUAACGGCUUACCAAGGCUACGACGGAUAGGGGAGGUGAGAGCCUGACCCCCACCGAUGGAACUGCGACACGGUCCAUACUCC
rnacentral:rRNA from 1 species